AAGGAUCAUUAAUGAAAUCGAACGUUCGGGUUGUUGCUGGUCUCUCUCUCUCUCUCUCUUUGGAGAAGGGGGGGGGGUUAUAACGUGCACGCCUCGAUUGUUGUUGUUCCAUCUUUCUUUUACACCUGUGCACGAUCUGUAGUUAGGGAUGAUCACGGGGCCGGCUUUGUCGGCGUCGAAUGCCCUGGCUAUGAACGGUUUAUUAUACACCUUGAUUUUGUUUUCAUGGAAUGUUUGUCCGCGUCGUAAACGGCGCGAAUGAGAUACAACUUUCAGCAACGGAUCUCUUGGCUCUCGCAUCGAUGAAGAACGCAGCGAAAUGCGAUAAGUAAUGUGAAUUGCAGAAUUCAGUGAAUCAUCGAAUCUUUGAACGCACCUUGCGCCCCUUGGUAUUCCGAGGGGCAUGCCUGUUUGAGUGUCAUGAAAUUCUCAACUCGCUUCGGUUUUGUUUUGGAGUGAAGUUGGAUUUGGAGUGUUUGCUGGCCCUGUUCGGCUCCUCUCAAAAGCAUGUGUAGCUCUUUUUUCUUGGCGGGAAAGUAUCUUUGACGUGAUAAUAAUUGUCUACGUCGUGGAGAAAGCCUUGAAUGGGGGAGAGCAUGAAGGGCGAGACCCGACUUUUAUAUUCGACCUCAAAUCAGGCAG
rnacentral:rRNA from 1 species